rnacentral:rRNA from 1 species
GACGAACGCUGGCGGCGUGCUUAACACAUGCAAGUCGAACGAUGAAACCUAGCUUGCUAGGUCGAUUAGUGGCGAACGGGUGAGUAACACGUGACUAACCUGCCCCUUUCUCUGGGAUAACGCUCCGAAAGGAGUGCUAAUACCGGAUACUCACAUCGAGGCACAUGCCUUGAUGUGGAAAGUUUUUCGGAAAGGGAUGGAGUCGCGGCCUAUCAGCUUGUUGGUGAGGUAACGGCUCACCAAGGCGACGACGGGUAGCCGGCCUGAGAGGGGGACCGGCCACACUGGGACUGAGACACGGCCCAGACUCCUACGGGAGGCAGCAGUGGGGAAUAUUGCACAAUGGGCGCAAGCCUGAUGCAGCGACGCCGCGUGAGGGAUGAAGGUCUUCGGAUUGUAAACCUCUUUCAGUAGGGACGAAGCGAAAGUGACGGUACCUAAAGAAGAAGCACCGGCUAACUACGUGCCAGCAGCCGCCGUAA